CGGUCCGGGAGGGAGGUUCAGCGGCGGGAGGCAGCAUGUCGGUUGCAGGGCUGAAGAAGCAGUUCUACAAGGCGAGCCAGCUGGUCAGUGAGAAGGUUGGAGGGGCUGAGGGGACCAAGCUGGACGAUGACUUCAAAGAGAUGGAGAUAUCAGCAAGGCAAGGCAUUGACAGAAAUGCUGGCAAGGACCAUCAAGUACCUGCAGCCCAACCCAGCCUCGCAGGCUAAGCUGACCAUGCUCAACACGGUGUGCAAGAUCCGGGGCCAGGUGAAGAACCCCGGCUACCCGCAGUCGGAGGGGCUCCUGAGCCAGUGCCUGAUCUGCCACCAGAAGGAGCUGGGCAACGAGUCCAACUUCAGUGACGCACUGCUGGAUGCCGGCGAGUCCAUGAAGCACCUGGCAGAAGUGAAGAACUCCCUGGACAUAGAGGUCAAGCAGAACUUCAUUGACUUCCUCCAGAACCUGUGUGAGAAAUACCUGAAGGGGAUCCAGCACCACGUGCAGAAGCUGGAGGGCCGCCGCCUGGACUUUGACUAAAAGAAGCAGCAGGGCGAGAUCCCCGAUGAGGAGCUGCGCCAGGCACUGGAGAAGCUUGAGGACUCCAAGGAGGUAGCAGAAACCAGCAUGCACAACCUCCUGGAGACCGACACUGAGCAGGUGAGUCAACUCCCGGCCCUGGUGGAGGCGCAGCCGGACUACCACUGGCAGGCCAUGCAGAUCCUGGACGAGCUGGCGGAGAAGCUCCAGCACAGAUGCGGGAAGCUUCCUCACACCUCAAGCGGGAGUAUAAGCCCAAGUCCUGGGAGCCCUUUGACCUCGGAGAGCCUGAGCAGUCCAACAGGGGCUUCCCCUGCACCACACU